rnacentral:misc_RNA from 1 species
AAAAAAAAAAAGAAAAAAAAUUGACAGUAAAGAUGAAGAUGUAGGAUCACUGUCCUACAUUAGAUGAUUAAGAUAGAAAGGUGAUAGAGGAGGCACCCCCCAUUACUUUUGGUUCAUAUAAGACUUUAGGUUUUUAUUAGUGUCCUGGUUCCAAACCACUAGGAGAUAAUUGUCCUCAUUACAAACCAACAAGAGAUAUUGAUCGAAACAAUAGGCUCAUUAACGUCAUUAAUUAAAGGAUAUAAAAAUAUAAUAAUGAGUAACGUGCAGUCCUGGAGAUUUCAUUUACUGUCUUGCCCGCAAGAGUUGAGGAAGGUGAUUCAUCAUUCAGCUUGUCAAAACAUCUGACCAGACACUGGUUAAAAUUAUCCACUUGAUUUCUACAUGAAUUAAUUCUCCCGAACUAGAGCAUCAUAAACUCAUAGAUAUACUACUACAUCUCCUCAAAAGGUUUGAUCUUAUUGUGUUGCACAGAUUCUCAAGAGGAUAGCAACAUUGCAUAUUGAUAAAUUUACAUUAACUAUUGGUGUGAGCAUGCACAUGUGUUUCUACAUCUGUUUGAAUGUGAAACAUAGAAUAAGUAAACUGUUUCAAACUCUGGAUAG